GGUUAAGCGACUAAGCGUACACGGUGGAUGCCCUGGCAGUCAGAGGCGAUGAAGGACGUGCUAAUCUGCGAUAAGCGUCGGUGAGGUGAUAUGAACCGUUAUAACCGGCGAUUUCCGAAUGGGGAAACCCAGUGUGUUUCGACACACUAUCAUUAACUGAAUCCAUAGGUUAAUGAGGCGAACCGGGGGAACUGAAACAUCUAAGUACCCCGAGGAAAAGAAAUCAACCGAGAUUCCCCCAGUAGCGGCGAGCGAACGGGGAGCAGCCCAGAGCCUGAAUCAGUGUGUGUGUUAGUGGAAGCGUCUGGAAAGGCGCGCGAUACAGGGUGACAGCCCCGUACACAAAAAUGCACAUACUGUGAGCUCGAUGAGUAGGGCGGGACACGUGGUAUCCUGUCUGAAUAUGGGGGGACCAUCCUCCAAGGCUAAAUACUCCUGACUGACCGAUAGUGAACCAGUACCGUGAGGGAAAGGCGAAAAGAACCCCGGCGAGGGGAGUGAAAAAGAACCUGAAACCGUGUACGUACAAGCAGUGGGAGCCUCUUAAUGGGGUGACUGCGUACCUUUUGUAUAAUGGGUCAGCGACUUAUAUUCUGUAGCAAGGUUAACCGAAUAGGGGAGCCGAAGGGAAACCGAGUCUUAACUGGGCGUUAAGUUGCAGGGUAUAGACCCGAAACCCGGUGAUCUAGCCAUGGGCAGGUUGAAGGUUGGGUAACACUAACUGGAGGACCGAACCGACUAAUGUUGAAAAAUUAGCGGAUGACUUGUGGCUGGGGGUGAAAGGCCAAUCAAACCGGGAGAUAGCUGGUUCUCCCCGAAAGCUAUUUAGGUAGCGCCUCGUGAAUUCAUCUCCGGGGGUAGAGCACUGUUUCGGCAAGGGGGUCAUCCCGACUUACCAACCCGAUGCAAACUGCGAAUACCGGAGAAUGUUAUCACGGGAGACACACGGCGGGUGCUAACGUCCGUCGUGAAGAGGGAAACAACCCAGACCGCCAGCUAAGGUCCCAAAGUCAUGGUUAAGUGGGAAACGAUGUGGGAAGGCCCAGACAGCCAGGAUGUUGGCUUAGAAGCAGCCAUCAUUUAAAGAAAGCGUAAUAGCUCACUGGUCGAGUCGGCCUGCGCGGAAGAUGUAACGGGGCUAAACCAUGCACCGAAGCUGCGGCAGCGACACUAUGUGUUGUUGGGUAGGGGAGCGUUCUGUAAGCCUGUGAAGGUGUACUGUGAGGUAUGCUGGAGGUAUCAGAAGUGCGAAUGCUGACAUAAGUAACGAUAAAGCGGGUGAAAAGCCCGCUCGCCGGAAGACCAAGGGUUCCUGUCCAACGUUAAUCGGGGCAGGGUGAGUCGACCCCUAAGGCGAGGCCGAAAGGCGUAGUCGAUGGGAAACAGGUUAAUAUUCCUGUACUUGGUGUUACUGCGAAGGGGGGACGGAGAAGGCUAUGUUGGCCGGGCGACGGUUGUCCCGGUUUAAGCGUGUAGGCUGGUUUUCCAGGCAAAUCCGGAAAACUAAGGCUGAGGCGUGAUGACGAGGCACUACGGUGCUGAAGCAACAAAUGCCCUGCUUCCAGGAAAAGCCUCUAAGCAUCAGGUAACAUCAAAUCGUACCCCAAACCGACACAGGUGGUCAGGUAGAGAAUACCAAGGCGCUUGAGAGAACUCGGGUGAAGGAACUAGGCAAAAUGGUGCCGUAACUUCGGGAGAAGGCACGCUGAUAUGUAGGUGAAGUCCCUCGCGGAUGGAGCUGAAAUCAGUCGAAGAUACCAGCUGGCUGCAACUGUUUAUUAAAAACACAGCACUGUGCAAACACGAAAGUGGACGUAUACGGUGUGACGCCUGCCCGGUGCCGGAAGGUUAAUUGAUGGGGUUAGCGGUAACGCGAAGCUCUUGAUCGAAGCCCCGGUAAACGGCGGCCGUAACUAUAACGGUCCUAAGGUAGCGAAAUUCCUUGUCGGGUAAGUUCCGACCUGCACGAAUGGCGUAAUGAUGGCCAGGCUGUCUCCACCCGAGACUCAGUGAAAUUGAACUCGCUGUGAAGAUGCAGUGUACCCGCGGCAAGACGGAAAGACCCCGUGAACCUUUACUAUAGCUUGACACUGAACAUUGAGCCUUGAUGUGUAGGAUAGGUGGGAGGCUUUGAAGUGUGGACGCCAGUCUGCAUGGAGCCGGCCUUGAAAUACCACCCUUUAAUGUUUGAUGUUCUAACGUUGGCCCCUGAUCGGGGUUGCGGACAGUGUCUGGUGGGUAGUUUGACUGGGGCGGUCUCCUCCUAAAGAGUAACGGAGGAGCACGAAGGUUGGCUAAUCCUGGUCGGACAUCAGGAGGUUAGUGCAAUGGCAUAAGCCAGCUUGACUGCGAGCGUGACGGCGCGAGCAGGUGCGAAAGCAGGUCAUAGUGAUCCGGUGGUUCUGAAUGGAAGGGCCAUCGCUCAACGGAUAAAAGGUACUCCGGGGAUAACAGGCUGAUACCGCCCAAGAGUUCAUAUCGACGGCGGUGUUUGGCACCUCGAUGUCGGCUCAUCACAUCCUGGGGCUGAAGUAGGUCCCAAGGGUAUGGCUGUUCGCCAUUUAAAGUGGUACGCGAGCUGGGUUUAGAACGUCGUGAGACAGUUCGGUCCCUAUCUGCCGUGGGCGCUGGAGAACUGAGGGGGGCUGCUCCUAGUACGAGAGGACCGGAGUGGACGCAUCACUGGUGUUCGGGUUGUCAUGCCAAUGGCACUGCCCGGUAGCUAAAUGCGGAAGAGAUAAGUGCUGAAAGCAUCUAAGCACGAAACUUGCCCCGAGAUGAGUUCUCCCUGACUCCUUGAG
rnacentral:rRNA from 1 species